GGAUUUUCGAUGGCAAUCAAGUAGAAGCGAACACUAACAGAGUCGUGGGUACAUAUGGAUACAUGGCGCCAGAGUAUGCAAUGGAGGGGCAAUUUUCAGUAAAGUCCGACGUUUACAGCUUUGGAGUUUUAAUGCUAGAAAUCAUAAGUGGGAAAAAGAAUAUGGGCUUCUAUCAUCCAGAGCAUGGAGAAAGCCUUCUCUCAAUUGCAUGGCGACUAUGGAAUGAAGGCAAAGGACUGGAGUUGAUAGAUCAGACCUUAGUCGACACUUGUCCUCGAAGUCAGGCUCUGAGAUUGAUCCAUAUCGCAUUGUUGUGUGUUCA